rnacentral:rRNA from 1 species
UAAGACGAACCGUGCAAACGUUGUUCGGAAUCACUGGGCUUAAAGGGCGCGUAGGCGGCUAGCCAAGUCCGUGGUGAAAUCCUGCAGCUUAACUGUAGAAGUGCCAUGGAUACUGGCUGGCUCGAGGGAGGUAGGGGUAUGUGGAACUUCUGGUGGAGCGGUGAAAUGCGUUGAUAUCAGAAGGAACGCCGGUGGCGAAAGCGACGUACUGGACCUCUUCUGACGCUGAGGCGCGAAAGCUAGGGGAGCAAACGGGAUUAGAUACCCCGGUAGUCCUAGCCCUAAACGAUGGGUACUAGAUUGUAGACUAACAUGGGUUUACAAUCGAAGCAAAAGUGUUAAGUACCCCGCCUGGGGAGUAUGGUCGCAAGGCUG